AUUUUGCAACAUUAUAUAAAGCAAAUUCUUAACAAACUAGCGCAUGCAAGCAAAAACAUUGAAAAAAUUAAUAGAAGGGCUUGUGAUUUUGACUGCUAUUUUUUUGUCAAAAGCUGACCAUAAAACACCUGAAUGAAAUAAAAUUGGAUUAAAGAUAGCCCAUCGAUGAGAAGAUUUAGAUAUUAGUCCAUUCAAAGAAGAGAAAUUGAACUCUCUCAGGGAUUUCCAUACUCUGAUCUGUAGAACAGUUACAAUAUUACUAAGCAUUCUUCCAAAAGAGUCCCAUGGACAAAGUUAGGCAAAUGAGGUCCAACAUCUAUGUAAGCCUAAUAAAUACGCUAUAAAGCUUAUAAAAAGAAUUACAUUUAAUAAUUUUUACCUGGGGUAGGGAUUAACUUAUUUGAACCUGAAGGAUUUCUUUUCCUGAUUAACUGUUAAGGUCUUCAAAACCUAGUUUCAUGGAACCCCAAAUGGUCAACAUUCCAGUACUCCAUUGAAAUAUUCCUAGGUCCAAUGUUUCUAAUAAGAGUAAAAUUACAGUUUGAAUUGGGCUUCAACUACAACAAAUAUAUAUGCCACCUGCCUAAGUGUUCAGACCAUGGAAGUACAUUGACCAAUAUUGCAGGAAAAAGGCUACUUUACUGCAUGAAGCAUUGUUGCAAUGAAUUUAUAAGUAACUGAAUGGACACUUAACUUUUCUAUAUUCUCAAUACUGGUACAAAUCUUGGGUUCCUUUUUCUGCAAAGCUCUGGCAUUCCAUUGACUGUAACUCUGGGGCUUUAUUAUCCAGCUUUACAAAGGGAUUGCAUGAUUUUUUUCCUUCAUGGCUGCUGAUUAACCCUUUGCUACAUCCUGGUAGAGAAUAAUUGCUUAGACCAGCACGUGGGCCACCUUUUCCCUUUAGAUAUUAUAUCUGAGUUAUUUUUCUUCCUAGAGGGUUUGUUUCAAAAUACUUUAUGAAGAAAUACAGUUGUUUGGCUGGGCAUUUUGUUCUAGAUUUAUCAGUACUCUAUAUGUAAGUAAGCCUUUUCAGAGAAAUAUUUACUUUCU
rnacentral:lncRNA from 1 species